rnacentral:tRNA from 3 species
CUGUAGCUCAGUUGGAUAGAGCAACGGCCUUCUAAGCCGUGGGUCGGGGGUUCGAAUCCCUUCAGG